GCCCGCGUAGCUCAGUGGAUAGAGCAGCAGCCUUCUAAGCUGAAGGUCGGAGGUUCAAUUCCUCCCGCGGGUACCA
rnacentral:tRNA from 1 species